rnacentral:rRNA from 1 species
UACAGAGGUCCCGAGCGUUGUUCGGAUUUACUGGGCGUAAAGGGCGCGUAGGCGGUCGUGACAGGUCACUUGUGAAAUCUCCGGGCUUAACUCGGAACGGUCAAGUGAUACUGUCGGACUAGAGUACAGAAGGGGCAACUGGAAUUCUCGGUGUAGCGGUGAAAUGCGUAGAUAUCGUCAAGAACACCGAUAGCGAAGGCAGCUUACCAAGCUGUAACUGACACUGAUGCACGAAAGUGUGGGGAUCAAACAGG